UACGAAGGGGGCUAGCGUUGCUCGGAUUGACUGGGCGUAAAGGGCGCGUAGGCGGUUCGUACAGUCAGACGUGAAAUUCCUGGGCUCAACCUGGGGGCUGCGUUUGAUACGUGCGGACUUGAGUGCGGAAGAGGGUCGUGGAAUUCCCAGUGUAGAGGUGAAAUGCGUAGAUAUCUGGAGGAACACCGGUGGCGAAGGCGGCAUCCUGGACCGGCAUUGACGCUGAGGAGCGAAAGCCAGGGGAGCAAACGGG
rnacentral:rRNA from 1 species